AACCUGGUUGAUCCUGCCAGUAGUCAUAUGCUUGUCUCAAAGACUAAGCCAUGCAUGUCUAAGUAUAAGUAUUAUACAGCGAAACUGCGAAUGGCUCAUUAAAACAGUUAUAGUUUAUUUGAUAAUCGAAACCUACAUGGAUACCCGUGGUAAUUCUAGAGCUAAUACAUGCUGGUGUGCCCGACUUUUGCGGAACGGGCAGUAUUUAUUAGAUAACAAGCCAAUAUUCCUCUGGUCUAUUGUGGUGACUCAUAAUAACUGAUCGAAUCGCAUGGCCUAUGGCCGCGAUAAGUCAUUCAAGUUUCUGCCCCAUCAGCUUUCGAUGGUAGUGUAUUGGACUACCAUGGCGUUUACGGGUAACGGAGGAUUAGGGUUCGAUUCCGGAGAGGGAGCCUGAGAAACGGCUACCACAUCUAAGGAAGGCAGCAGGCGCGUAAAUUACCCAAUCCUGACUCAGGGAGGUAGUGACAAGAAAUAACGGACCGGGGUCUUCCGAGGCUUCGGGAUUGCAAUGAGCCGAAUUUACACCCCUUAGCGAGAAUCGAUUGGAGGGCAAGUCUGGUGCCAGCAGCCGCGGUAAUUCCAGCUCCAAUAGC
rnacentral:rRNA from 1 species